rnacentral:rRNA from 1 species
UUAGAAGCAACUAAGGGCGCAUGGGGGAUGCCUAAGGCUCUCAGCGGCGAAGAAGGACGCGAUAAGCUGCGAAAAUGGCAGGGGAGUGGCACAUACAUGUUGAUCCUGCUGUGUCCGAAUGGGGCAACCCAACGACUUGAAGAGUCGUUAUCCCUACGGGGAGGCAAACGGGGGGAACUGAAACAUCUAAGUACCCCUAGGAAGAGAAAACAACAGUGAUACCGUAAGUAGUGGCGAGCGAACACGGCAUAGCCCAAACCUAAUCAGUUACGGCUGAAUAGGGGUUAUAGGACUGCUUAUUAGGCGAUAAUGGGAAUUGAAUGACUUGGGAAAGUCAGCCAUAGAAGGUGAGAGCCCUGUAAAUGUAAAAAUUAUCAACGUAGCAGUAUCCUGAGUAGGUGGGGACAGGAGGAAUCCCCUCUGAAUUCGGCGGCACCAUCCGCCAAGGCUAAAUACGACUGAGAGACCGAUAGUGAACGAGUACCGUGAGGGAAAGGUGAAAAGUACCGGGAGUACCGGGGUGAAAUAGAACCUGAAACCAUGCGCUUACAAGCGGGCGGAGCCCUAUGGGGUGACGCCGUGCCUUUUGCAUAAUGAGCCUACGAGUUGUUGUUGCUGGCAAGGUUAAGCAUUUAAGAUGCGCAGCCGAAGCGAAAGCGAGUCUGAACAGGGCGCUUAGUCAGUAAUAGCAGACGCGAAACUUGGUGAUCUACCCGUGGUCAGGUUGAAGUGUGGGUAACACUACAUGGAGGACCGAACCAGUAAACGUUGAAAAGUUUUUGGAUGAACUGCGGGUAGGGGUGAAAGGCCAAUCAAACUGAGAAAUAGCUCGUACUCCCCGAAAUGUUUUUAGGAACAGCGUUGUGGCGAGUCAGUGUCAGGUAGAGCUACCGAUAGGAUGCGGGGGAGUCAAAUCCUACCAAAUUCUGACGAACUCCGAAUGGGCACUGAUAUACACAGCAGUGAGGGCCGGGGUGCUAAGGUCACGGUCCGAGAGGGGAACAACCCAGAGCAACCGCUAAGGUCCCAAAGUAUAUACUAAGUUGAACAAAGGAAGUCCGACUGCCGAGACAGCCAGGAUGUUAGCUUGGAAGCAGCUAUACAUUUAAAGAGUGCGUAACAGCUCACUGGUCGAGCGGGGCGGGCGUCGAUAAUAAACGGGCAUCAAGUAUAUCACCGAAGCGAUGCGAUAGUAAUAUCGGUAGGGGAGCAUUCCAACAUCAGUGAAGCUGUAGCGUGAGCUAUGGUGGAGAGGUUGGAAAAGCAAAUGUAGGCAUAAGUAACGAUAAUGUAUGUGAGAACCAUACACACCGUAAAGCUAAGGAUUCCUCAGCUAUGUCAAUCAACUGAGGGUUAGUCGGGGCCUAAGGGGAAGGCGAAGGCCGCACCUGACGGACAGCAGGUUAAUAUUCCUGCACCUGAUGCAAGUGUGAAGCGCACGGGGUAGAGGAGGGUGUACGAAGUGACGGAAGUCUUCGUUGAGCAGAGUCUACGGACGAAGCGAACAUCUGAACUGGCCUCCAAGAAAAACCGCUGAAACAUCAGCUUGCAUGAGCCCGUACCGUAAACCGACACAGGUAGCUGGGUAGAAUAUACCAAGGUGCUCAAGUGAAUCACGGUUAAGGAACUCGGCAAAUUAGUCCUGUAACUUCGGGAAAAGGGACACUCUGGCGUGAGCUAGAGUCGCAGAGAAAUGGCCCAGGCGACUGUUUAACAAAAACACAGGGCAACGCAAAGUGGAGACACGACGUAUGUUGCCUGACACCUGCCCGGUGCUGGAAGGUUAAGAGGGGAAGUCAUCGCAAGAGAAGCUUUGAAUCGAAGCCCCAGUAAACGGCGGCCGUAACUAUAACGGUCCUAAGGUAGCGAAAUUCCUUGUCGGGUAAGUUCCGACCUGCACGAAUGGUGUAACGAUCUGGGCACUGUCUCAACCGUGAGCUUGGUGAAAUUGUAGUAGCGGUGAAGAUGCCGCUUACCCGUCACGGGACGGAAAGACCCCGUGCACCUUUACUACAACUUUGCGUUGAACAUGGGAUAUGAAUGUGUAGGAUAGGUGGGAGGCUGUGAGCCGGGUUCGUCAGGAUUCGGGGAGCCAACGUUGAAAUACCACCCUUUUGUAUUCUGUGUUCUAAUUCUGAAUGGAAGACCGCGCAUGGUGGGUAGUUUGACUGGGGUGGUCGCCUCCAAAAGAGUAACGGAGGCUUCCAAAGGUUGGCUCAGCACGCUUGGUAACCGUGCGGGGAGUGCAAAAGCACAAGCCAGCUUGACUGUGAGACCGACGGGUCGAUCAGGUGGGAAACCAGGGUUUAGUGAUCCGGUGGUUGCGCAUGGGUGUGCCAUCGCUCAAAGGAUAAAAGGUACGCCGGGGAUAACAGGCUGAUCAUCCCCAAGAGCUCACAUCGACGGGAUGGUUUGGCACCUCGAUGUCGGCUCGUCACAUCCUGGGGCUGGAGAAGGUCCCAAGGGUUCGGCUGUUCGCCGAUUAAAGUGGCACGCGAGCUGGGUUCAGAACGUCGUGAGACAGUUCGGUCCCUAUCUGUGAUGGGCGUAGGAAAUUUGACGGGGGCUGACCUUAGUACGAGAGGACCGGGUUGGACUCACCGCUGGUGAAUCGGUUGUUACGCCAGUAGCACGGCCGAGUAGCUACGUGGGCAACGGAUAAGCGCUGAAAGCAUCUAAGUGCGAAACCGGCCUGAAGAUGAGAUUUCCACAUAAGGGACGUUAUAGACUAUGACGUUGAUAGGCUGCAAGUGUAAAGGUGGUGACAUCAAAGCUGAGCAGUACUAAUUGCCCAAUAGCUUCUAAGU